UACGUAGGGUGCGAGCGUUGUCCGGAAUUACUGGGCGUAAAGAGCUCGUAGGUGGUUUGUCGCGUUGUUCGUGAAAACCGGGGGCUUAACCCUCGGCGUGCGGGCGAUACGGGCAGACUUGAGUACUGCAGGGGAGACUGGAAUUCCUGGUGUAGCGGUGGAAUGCGCAGAUAUCAGGAGGAACACCGAUGGCGAAGGCAGGUCUCUGGGCAUUAACUGACGCUGAGGAGCGAAAGCAUGGGGAGCGAACAGG
rnacentral:rRNA from 1 species